ACGGGGGGUGCUAGCGUUAUCCGGAAUCAUUGGGCUUAAAGGGCGCGUAGGCGGACUUUUAAGUCAGUGGUGAAAGCCUUCGGCUUAACUGCGGAACUGCCUUUGAUACUAAUAGACUUGAGUAUGGUAAAGGUAGGCGGAAUUCCUGGUGUAGCGGUGAAAUGCUUAGAUAUCAGGAGGAACACCGGUGGCGAAGGCGGCUUACUGGGCCAAUACUGACGCUGAGGCGCGAAGGCGUGGGGAGCGAACAG
rnacentral:rRNA from 1 species